rnacentral:rRNA from 1 species
UACGGAGGGUGCAAACGUUGCUCGGAAUCAUUGGGCGUAAAGCGCACGUAGGCGGCUCGUUAAGUCGGAUGUGAAAGCCCUGGGCUCAACCCAGGAAGUGCAUUCGAAACUGGCGAGCUUGAAUAUGGAAGAGGGUCGCGGAAUUCCCGGUGUAGAGGUGAAAUUCGUAGAUAUCGGGAGGAACACCAGUGGCGAAGGCGGCGACCUGGGCCAAUAUUGACGCUGAGGUACGAAAGCGUGGGGAGCAAACAGG